rnacentral:lncRNA from 1 species
CAGUAGCCAACGCCCAGCCGCCGUCACCGACGACUCCUCUCGUUAGCUAGCGUUCAGCCCCACCGUCGCCGAUUCUCUUAUAUUGGAUCUCUUCUCCUUGCGUCGCCAGAUUUGCUCAGAGAUGCUGUUGGCGUCGCCCUCUGUCCUNNNNNNNNNNNNNNUCAAGCUUCAAGCUUCUGUCUUUGAUCGCCCCUCUCUCUAGCUGAGGUCACUUUCCUCCCUCGUCGCCGUCAGCAAAGCUGCUUCAAUUUAUGUUUCUUAUUUUGUUAGUUGCUGAAAUCUGAUUCUGAGUUGCUAAUUUUUCUGUUUUUGUUCAUUUUUGCUUAUUUUGUUAAAUUUUGAUGGUUGAUGGUUGAUAGUGUUUCAUUAAAUUUUCUGAAAUAAUUUUGUGUUCUGAGUUGGGAUUGUUGUUGAUAUAUUCUGAAUUUAGUUUGGAUACUGAGUUUGGAUUCCUUACUUAGUUUUAUGUUUUUGGAUUCUCUGGUUUUAGAUGACUUUGGAUGCGUAGAAGUUUUGGAUUCUAAAUUUUUAUUGAAUACUCUAUUAGUAUUGAGGAUACAAAUAAUGUAACAGAAUAAGAUUCGGUUCAAGAAAGAGUGAAAGAAGAGUAGUUAGACUAUUGAUUAGUUAGUUAUUCUGUUUUAUGUCAAUAGCUUCCAUACAUAUAGCGUAGACCUUGUAUUUAAAGUGUAAUUCAAUUUUUAGUUCAAAAUAAUUUGAUCAAUGUAAAUUGUUU